rnacentral:rRNA from 1 species
UGGGGAAUAUUGCGCAAUGGGGGAAACCCUGACGCAGCGACGCCGCGUGCGGGAUGAAGGCCUUCGGGUUGUAAACCGCUUUUGAUUGGGAGCAAGCUUUCGGGUGAGUGUACCUUUCGAAUAAGCGCCGGCUAAAUACGUGCCAGCAGCCGCGGUAAUACGUAUGGAGCGAGCGUUGUCCGGAAUUAUUGGGCGUAAAGGGUACGCAGGCGGUUUAAUAAGUCGAAUGUUAAAGAUCGGGGCUCAACCCCGUAAAGCAUUGGAAACUGAUAAACUUGAGUAGUGGAGAGGAAAGUGGAAUUCCUAGUGUAGUGGUGAAAUACGUAGAUAUUAGGAGGAAUACCAGUAGCGAAGGCGACUUUCUGGACACAAACUGACGCUGAGGUACGAAAGCGUGGGGAGCAAACAGG